UCCGCCAGGCGGCGCUGCUGCUCCCGCCGGCCCGGGGCUCGGGAGCUCGCGGCCGCGGCCGCCGCUGGGGUCAGUCGAGGGCUGGGGAGGGGGACUGGGCCUUCGUGCCCCUGACGGAGAGUGUUGCCCACGCAGAGGAAACUGCAGCAAGCCUCCAGACUGCCCCCAAGCCACCAGCCCGUUCUGCUGCCUGCUCCUCCGGCAGGCAGCAGCGUCCAGAGCUAAGGUAUCGGCCUGCCCUUGGCGAGUGUUCCUCAUGCUGCAUACCACUUCCAGGCCCUAGACCCUGUUUGUGCUGCAUACUGCGUUAAGAAGUGCGUCACAAACCUGAGUCCUUGACCUGAGGAAUCUCACUGCGCUGGCUCAUGGAAGAAUUUUUAAUGGAAGGCAACAUGAAUGAGGACAACUGAAUUUCAGUAGAGAGGAACUGCAAACAAGAUUAACCCUGAGUUGGAAAGACCAUACUCUGGAGAGGUGGAAGGAAAUUCAGUAUCUGAGCUAAGUGCGUGCUGACUUCCUUGGACAAAGGACUGCCAACUGUGCAAAGUUAUGAUGAUGAUGUGAUGAGGACUCAUCAUCCACCAAAGCCUCCACAA